GGUUUCUUAAAGCCAGUUAGGUACCUCCUUUGUUUCCCAGCAGUGCAAAGGGGAAAGUCACUGAGAUGAGCCCGAUCUCCAAGGGCAGUCAAAGCCUUGGGAAUGGGCUGGGGGACCUCAAACAACCAGCUGCCACUAGGUUCCCAGUAGGCCUUGCACUUCUUCUCAGGACCCUGGGUCCAGCACUUCCCCACACUGCGCUUCUAGCUGCCCCCGCCUCAAGCUGCUGCUUCCCUUCAUCUAUCUUUCUCUCUCCCUCUAUCUCUCUUGCUCCCUUUCUUCCUUCCUGUUCUUUCUGUUCUCUCUUUCCCUCAUCACUGAGCCCAAGAUGGGGCUUUGAGAAUCAGGCUUUGCUCUGAGACCUUCAGGCAUGCUACUAGGAGACCUGCCCUCGGGAGGACAUGGAUGCAAAUAUGAGGAUGGGAAGAUAAGGGUCAAAUCAGGGAGUCAGUUUGGCUGAUCAGGUGUGGGAUGAAUCCGCUGGUUUUCUCUAGCAGUCCUGAUUAUCCUGCAUCCCUGCCGCUCAUCCCAGAGAAUCUGUUCCCACCUCAUCCACCUGCUGGCCUGCCCUUGGCCAUAGGGCUGAAGUUGCUGGUGCCCCCAAGGCCAUUCUUUCCCAGGAUGAGGGAGGGCUUACAGGAGCUCCCCUUGCCUCAGCGGGUAGGGGUGCCGGGGAGGGGGUGUGGGGAGGUCAGGGACUCUAGGUCAAAGCCUCAAACUAGGAAAGAAGCAAAGCCUAUCUCCUGAUGCACUUCGGGGUCCUCUCUCCCUUGGGUGGAGAGGUUGGUUGGCUCUUGGCUCUUGGCUGUCUCUCCAAGGAAGACACCUGAUCAGCCAGGCCCCCAGCCUGCCACAUCUGCUUGGCAAAGAAGGGAGACCUCUCCUUCAAGGUCUGGUGAAAGGGAUGCAGACUGUGUGCCCCAAGCAGCUUCCUUGCCUCAACCGGCCCUUCAGGGAAGGAGGGAACCUACUUGACUUCACAGGAUCCCGAUCUCAGCCAGCAGAGCUGUGACAACUGCAGCCACAUUCUGGAGCCUGACACUGGAGGAAGCUUCUGCCACUCGGCUCUCCUUGCUGCCUCUUUGCUGCCUUGGCCCCUGCUCAUUCCACUGUGUUGUGGCUUUCUCCCUCAUUCCCGGGGUGGGAGGGAUGACAGGGAAGUAAGAUGUUCCUCCCCUUCCCCCUAGUCUUUCCCCAUGCCCCACCAAGCCUCAAAGCUACUGAUCAUAAUCAACCACUGCUCCCAGCCCUGCUCAGAAGGGACUCGCAGUGAAUUCAGAUUCUCUUCUGGGCAGGAGGAAGAACAAAUGCUCCUUCCUCAGUCCUCCCUGGCUCAUUGAUCCAUUCGAAGGCCACUGGGGGGUCAAAGUUGAGACCGGAUUGCUUCAAUUGGUUUAAAAUUAGCAUUUUUAAAAAUCAUACCGAAGGCCCAGAUUUCUCACAUGGGAGGAAUGGGAGGUCUCAGGGUGCUGGGCUGGCUCAGUCCGUAGAGUAUGUGACUUUGGAUUUCAGGGUCAUGAGUUCAAGCCCACAUUGGACCUAGAACUUAAUUUAAAAAAAAAAAAAGGAAUAGGAAGUCUUUACCCAGACCCACACCUCCUCUCUGGCCUUUCAAACCAGCGAUGAUAUAAAGGCUCGUUGAGGUGAAGGCAUGGAAGGAGAAUGAGCAGUUGGCCCCAUCUACCAGCUUCAGCGGUUCGUUCCGCUAAUAUUUAUUUAGAGCGUACUGCGAGGGAACCAUCAUCUGUACCUCAGUUUGUCAUGGACCGUCAAGAGCCAUUCCUGCCCCUAUGAGGCUUCAGUGUGUAUGGACAGAUAUACAAAUAAAUCAGUGGAAAAGAAAGUCUGGGUUCAGCUGAUUUCUACCGCAGCCUUCCAGGUGCCUGGUCUCAGAGCCACCAGCUCUGAGGGAGCCCCCAGCCCCCCCACCCCAGCGACCCACACCAACUCCGUUGAAAAACAGGACGGCCCUGGGUCUCGUUUGUUUCCCGCACUGGAAGAAUAUAAAAUGGGGCAAGAAACAUGCACUGGGAUUGGCAGACCUGAAAUAAAGGGUUUGGGAUGUCGGCGAAGGGGCCUUCCAAGGGUCCCGUUCCGUUCCACCCUUGGGACAUGCCCUGUCGCCGCGCGGGGUGACCGGUUUCUCUGGGGUUGCCGAAGCAGGCUUGGGGUUUGCCUUAGUGUAAUCACAUGCCUGAAGGUGACAGUGAGGGUGUGCAUAAGCAAGUAGGCUGAAGGGGGGGUGUUCAAGUGUUCCCACACAGGGCUUGGCACUGGAGCAGGUGUGUGUGCGCAUGCACGCUGCGGGGCCGGCUGCACACAGAUCUGAACAUAGCUCUUCAUACAUGACCCUCUGUGUUUGCAAGUGUGUGUGUACCCUCUGAAUUAUUAUAAAAUUACCCUGACCCUUACAGAAAAUCCAUACCAGCCUCGGCCUUUCUCCCCCGACCUCUCGACCUCUGGGGUGCCUGAGGAAAGAGCUGACCCGGUCACUGCCUCCCCCAGUCAAUGAGUCUCUCUCCAUUAGCAUAAAACAUGAAUCUGCUGGCAGCUUGACAAAUUAUAACUAGCAGCCAGAGUUUUGCCAACUGGCUGGCUUGGGCGCUGUCUAUUUAUCAUUGAAAAUGGUAAAUCAUAAGAAUCCAGAUGACUUAAUUAUUCAAAUCCACCCAGGACCCAGAGAAGCUGCAGUCCCGUCAGUCUCCGCCCUGGGCUCAGGGAAAGGGCAAGAGGACGGUGCUGGAAGCUUGGGUGGGGGCUGGGAGAUGCAGGAUCCACGGCCACCCGUCUCCUCUGCCCGGCAAGCCCACGUUUCUCUGCAGCCCCUCCCCUCCCUGCCUGCAUGCUACUGUCCCCAGAAGAAACCAAGCCGAUUGUUUUGGCUACUGACCCUCCCAAGGCCCCCCCUGCCUGCCACCCAUCCCCUAGCUCACACAGGAGGUUCUCUGCAUCUCUUUGUGUGGCUCUCUGCUAGCUUGCCCUCUCUUUCUCUUUCUCUUUCUCAGUGCCUUCAUCCUCUUUCUCCUCUUUCUCACAUUCUUCCCCUCCCACCUCUCUUUCUCUCUCCACUCCUACAGAUGGAUCCUGACCUCCCCCCCACCCAUAACUUCUCAGAUGGAGGUUUGCCUGCGCUCCUGCCCCCUUUGUUUAUACACGGUCCCAGAGGUGCCCUCUCAGGACCUCCACGCACCCACACUACUCCACCCGUACCCCAGCACUUGAGUCCUGGGAGGUUUGAAUUCUCUCCUCCGUGGAGCCACAUGGAAACGUAAGUGUCAUGGAUGACCUUGGCCUACUCAGCCCCUCACCCCCACCCUCCACACACCUAACCUUCCUUCUGUGGGUUUCUGAGCACCAUUCUGCACAGCUGGGGAGCUGGGAGACCGGCUGUCACAGAUAUGCCCCAGCAGGAGACAGGACUGGGUCCCAAGAAGGCCCACCCUGGGGCUGUCCCCCGGCUCCCCACACUGGACCACCUCACACCGGAGCAGAGGGAUCGCUCAACUUGAGAAAAAGAAAAUCUGUUUGCAGAACAAAUUGUGCAUCCAGAGGUCUUCAUGCUGAGCUUCUGGGGUCCCUUUGAUUUCUGGGUCCUUUUAUCUUUGUGUCCUCACAAUCCAGUGUAAAUAUGUGCUAUUAUUUCUUCCAGUCCUGGACAACAAAGGAGGUGGGCGUUGUCCCCAGCCCCCAGUGGGGGGUGGUGCUGGGUCCUCCACCUUCACCCAUCAUGCGGAGGAGAAUGUGGGCCAUGAGGGGUUCACUACAGCCCCUCUCUUUGCGUGGCAUCCUGACUUAUUCUUUUGGGGGGCUUGUUCUCUCUGUGAAGGCCCCAGAGCUCCAGCCCCAGACGUGCCCCAGACGUGCCCCAGAGCCCACUUCUGUGUCUGCAGAUGCUUGUCAGGUUGGUUCAGAGUGACCGUGUCAGCCUGUGUGUUUGUCCCCACACUUUCAGGAAUCCUUAUGCUGGAACAACAAGUGACAAUGUCCCCACCAACAGGACACCUGAGGAAAUAGUCCUCUCCCCACAAUUCCAUUUUAAGGCCUCUGAGCAACGGAGCUCUCAGUAAAAUAUCUAUCUUGAUGAAUCAUCAAACUCUAAAGAGGGAGCUACUCAUUACUGCUACUGAACCUGCGUAAGUUAUUCCUUGAGUCUAGCCUUCUUCUCCUUUCAGGGUGGAGUAUGGGGAUGGGGCUCCCCAGUCUCCAGAGGGGACUCCUCCACUCCCUCUCCGAGAGAACAUCUACAGCAUGUCAGGGACGCUUCCAGCUCGGGGCUCAUCCUCACUGCUAAAACCCGCAUCCCUUCCCUCUUCCCUCCCUCCCAACCUUUCCAAGCCAGGUUCCUGUUUGACCGCAAGGGCAGUGGUGAGGGGUAAAGCAGGAGUGGAGAGGAUCAAGAUUCAAAGGCAGGCCAGCAGCUGGACGCCAGGAAGAUCAAUAAGGUAGAUAGAUUGGAGACAGGUUUCUCCCACUUCUUUUUUUUUUCUGCUGGCUCAGCGGCCCCGCCCCAGCUCCUACAAGCAGGUGGGGGACAGAGCCCAGUCCUGGCCUCUCUCUGCCCUUCUAACUCAAACAGGUUCCUAAUCCCUGGGUAGAGGGUAAACAGCCUCCGAACACCACCUGCAUUAACCACAGAAAUGCCGCCGGUGUAUUUUGGGCACUCUUCCCUCCCGCUCCCCCCAACCCCAUGUUACUAAUUAGCCCAAGAGCUUGGGAGAAGCUUGGGAGGGGCAGCUAAGAAUGCCUUUGUGCAGGCCCUGCGAGCCCAGGUCUGAGCUCUGGAUAGUGUCUCUGGAGCUCGAACCACUGAUGGUGGCAGAGGGCUUCCAGCCCCCUCCCCACUCACUGACUCCUAAAUCAGCUCAAAGGGAGACGGAGGCUUUUUUCUCUGCACCCCUCCCCGAAUCCCCCUGUCUCCCCUUGGCUGUUCACAGCUGGGAGGCAGGUGGGGGAUAAGAGGGAGAGUAGAAUCGGCUCUGGAAAUCAAACGACCCAAUAAAAAAUUAAUUGUCUAAUUAAAACCAUGAGGAAGCCCCUUGCCAGAGUUUGGCUCUGAGUCGUCAGGGCUAUAAAGGGUGGGAAAAUGAGUCUCAGCUCCUAAUAAAUUCCUGAUUUGCAGCUUGGUCUAUCCGCGAAGGAGCGCUGAGCGUUCUGCCAGGGUAGAGCUCCUGGAGGUCACUCCUUCCUCCCUCGGCCCCCAGCCCAGGUGAUCACACCCACUGCCACCUCCACUCACCCAACUCAAGCCCAGGGAAAGGAGUCUCUCCAAAUGGGCAGAAAAGGCUCUGCUCAGGGAGGGCAAGCCUUUCUGAGACUGGUGCGCAGGCCCCCUGAUGUGGUGCUACCCCUCUGCUUCCUGGUCCUCCAGGAAAAGGAACUUCCUGGAAACUUCUCCAGCUAGAGAGGUCUUCGUUUAAGUUAACUACUAAUUGUUAUAGACAGGCUUACUGUGCAGAUUCAUUUUGACCUCACCUCCUCUAUUUUUGUGAAAAAUACAUCUUUACUGAAUUUCCAAACCAGCAGCUUCCCUCCCUUAGGCUUUAGUGCUGAUUUUUGCAGAUGAAUGAUGGGCGACCAAGCUAAUAAAUUUAAUAUUCCCCACACUAAAGGGCUGAGCACACACUGCCUCGUUGGCCAGAUCUUCUGGAAGAACAAACACGGAGCUAGUCUAGAAAGGAGUGCAGAGCUAGGCAAGUCUUGGGUGUAGAUGAGGACCCAAACCCUGAAAAAUUGUACCAAAUCUUCCCUUGAAUCUGUCCAAUGCCUCUCUUCCCGCCCUUCCUUGGCAAAAGCCAAUGCAUUAUACAUCGUCAGAGGCAUUAAUUUGCAAUAGCUAGAGAAGAAGGAGGAAGUGGUUAGCAUACAGCCCUCAACAUCAUAAUAUGUCAUUUUAUUAUGUAGAACACAAUCCUGGAUAUAAUAUCUGUGAUUUGUUUUUUAAACCCAGGAGAACAAACAAGGGUGUUCUCAGAAGGACACAGACUUAUCUCAUAUGUACCUCUAUUAAUUAAAACAUUUCUGCAAAGUCUCCUUUUAAGAUGGACUUCAUAGCUCUUCUACAAAAUGAAUUAUUUUUUGACUGAUCCCCCAAAAGCAAAGGAUAAAGAUCUGUCACCAAUAAGGACAUUCAAUAAACUGAGUCAUGCACCCUGAGGAAUUGGAAACACGUGGAGUCCCUGGCCCUUGUUGGCCGGAGGGGCUUCCCCGCCAAGGUGACUGCUGGGUGUCUGUGUGCUCCUUCUGAGGUCCUUCUCUGUGGCCACAUCUGGAAUAUAUUAUUUAUCAUUCCUGAUAAUCCUUCCUUCGUUCAUCUGGUUGUUAUUUUUCAUCCUAAACAGUGAACUAAGCUUUCCCUACUAAGGAGAAAAACAAAAGGAAACAAAUUCCUGAGCUCCAUGUGGCUCAGGAUCCCAUUUCAGAUUUCAGCAAGGUCCCAUCCACAAGUGUCACCAUGGUGGCUGGAUCUUCCGGCUCCCGAGAGCCCCAAACCUAGAGACUGGGGCACAGACCCUGGUGCCAAUUUGCCUUGUGCCCACCGGGAGCCAGGCCCCACUGGGUGCUUACAUAUGGGUGACCCUUUUUAGGACGGGACUAGCAGGCAGUUUUCCAUCCCCCGAUGGAUGGAAUUGGUCAUUUCUUGUCCCUGCUACCUGGUGGAAGACUGCAUAUUCCUCCCAGGUCCUACUGUUCCUGGAGAAGCUCCGGUUUCCUGAUUCCACUUCUCUGGAGGACUUAGCUUCAGAGGUCAUUCUGUGAAGCUCUGUGUCUCUGGGCAAAACUCCCUUGAAUAUUCCCAGUCCUCAGGCGGACCAGCUUGAGUUCGUAAAGAGAACCCUGAGCCCAGAAGGGCAGGACAGUGGCACGCGUUCACACCAUUCGGGGCAGGGGGUAUGGGGGUGGGCAGGGCACCAUGUGUACUGAAUUCUAUGUGAAUGGCACCACCUAGAGUUGUGCUCUAGGAGCGCAGAGAGCGCUGGUCCCGGAGCUGAGUCACCCUGCACCCCAGGGGUGCCCGGUGACUCCACAUGGCAUUCAAGGGUGAAACACCUACCUUCUGACAACUGAUAUGUCAACACCUCAGCCCCCGAGAAAGGGCUUAAAGGGGAAACCCUCCCUGCCUCACUGAUGGCUGAGAGAUCUAGGCUCAGCACACAGCUCACCAAUCUUCUCUAUUCAGCUUCAAAGGCAGCCCCAGCCCCAGGGAGGACCUCAGGGGUAUGGAGCAAAGCUGAUCUGACCUAAAUGGACAAUGGAUAAUGUUGCCUGAGCACAGGUGAGGCCAACCCUAGAAAUCACAGGGAGACCUAAGAUCCCACCCGGCCGGCAGUUUGGGGAGGGAGGGGAGCAGGUAAUGGAGGGGCAAUCUUCAAGGUGCAGAGGCAUUUACCGUUGCCCCUCCUAGACUGAAGAGCACCUUGCCUGCAAGCAAGCUGCUCUAGCCUCCUCACCUGUGUCAGCCUGGCCCAUCUGGCCCCGGUACUUUACCCUCUGCAGAGCUUCCCUCUGUCCUUUCAACCCCUUCCAUUUUCUCCUCUCCCAGAGUCUUUUUGAACAAAACCUACUGACCUCUGUUAUUUCCACGACUUUCCCCUCAAGCAUUCUCUCAGCCUGCAGGCAUUCAGGGUCCCCCACCGUGUCCUCCCCUCACUGGGACAGGGCCCUUUCCCGUGUCCUAGUCACCCCAUGAUGCCAGGACACCCCCGACUCAGCAGCUCACAGAUGCUCUGCUCUCAGAGCCCCAGAUGAGCUACCACAUCAAAGACUGGGACACCAGCACUUAGAGGAUGGGGACACCCAGUCAAGGACCAACCUACCUUGACUGAACUCCCUCUUUGUUCUGGCAUCGUGGGCCACAGAAAGAGCAGGGGUAAAGAAUCCGGUCCCAAAGGGCACUGGGUCAUGCAACCAAAAAAAAAGAAAAGACAUAAUCAUCCCAGACUUAAAAUAAGUCUUUAUCUUAAGGUUCACCUGACCAUGAAGGUGAACUUAGUGGACAAAAAAUUUCAGAGGUGGGAGAAAAAGCUGUCAACUAGAAUCCUCCCAAAAGACACCCGGAGGAGGUCAGCUGCAGCUGGGAUCCCCUCAGAGGCCUCCCGGAGGCUAAAGAAUCAUCACAUGGGUGGGCUCCAUUUCCCCAGCACAUUGGCCACUGGGGAACAUCCCUGGGCACCCGCUCUCUGCCAGGCUCUGCGCCAGGCACCAGAAACACAAGUGCAAGGGAGUCUGUGCCUUCAAGGCGCUGUCAGCCUAGAUGGGGGAAGAAAUUGUAAGUAGAUCUCCAUAAAGCAGUGAGGGAAGGACCAUCACUUCUGGUACAGCCAGGCAUUAUCAGAGCACCACAAACACACCUAAAUCUGUCUGUGGAAAGGGCAGACGAAAGGGGUAGGGAAGGCAUCCUGAAAUGGGGAGGCCAGUGUAAACCAAACACAUGGUACCCCUUCUCCCUGCACCCCUCCCAACGGAAAGUCACCUUCCGCCCCACCAGCUUCUUCAACCAAGGUCCUUGUGGGGUGUGCACACCCCAGCACACUUUCCCACGCAAACUUGAAGCAGAUAACUCCAAUCCUGAACUGGGAUGGGAGCUCUGGGGUGCCUCCCUAACCCAUCUACCCCUCAGUUCUCCCACCCACCCGGCACAAUGGCCGCGUGCUCUCUGAUUCCCAGCCUUGGAAGAACCCUGGGCAAGAGAGAGGGAAGACCCUAUCAUCUCCGGGAAUCACUUGGUCUGCCACCUUCCUCCUCCCCACCUUUGGGGAAGAUGGCCCUGCUUCCCCCUGGUUCUCCAUCUGUGAUCUAGUGCCCACCUCCCACUGCUGCAGCUCUUCCUCCUCCCCACCUUGGAAGAACACACGCCUCCCUCCAGAUCUCCCUCCAAGGUGGCUGAGUGGGAGGGAGGCCACCUUUGGCCCCAUUUUCCUUGGCCUAGGCGGGCUAUUUUGGAAAUGAGAAAACCCCUUUGCCCUUUCCUCCCCUCUGGGGAGCACCCUCCCUCCCCUCUCCACAUUCCCCAGAAGUUCUCAGACUGAGAUCCAUCCUACGUGAAGUUAUGUGGUGAAAUCAGCGCUUUCCUGCCCUGCAGGCGCCAAUGCUGGGAAGGGAGCCUACACAAACCUUUGAUGUAGGCACGUUUUUAAAGGCCCACCUGUCCCCUGUCUCUCCCCAGCCCCCAGCCUGAACUGCUGGAGCCCCUCAUCACAGCUUUAAAUCCCAGGCUCCCCACCCCAACCCGGCCAGGAUCAGGUCACACACACCCUCUCCCACUGGGGGUAAUCAAACCCAACCACGCUCACUCAGGGACAUCUGUCUCCAGUGAAUAAGGAGCGAUCCCAAACUUGAGGGGUUCGGUGACACUUAAAAGCUUCAAGCAGGAAGAUCUGCAAUUUCUCUUGGAGUUGGGCCUGUGGGGAGGGUCACUGGGAAACCCUUGUUUGAUGUUGCGCUUUCAUGGCUGUGGUUUGAUCCAGAUGUUCUCCACUUGUGGGAUUUUCUCCUUGGGAGGGAGGGGCCCUUGGCUGUGAAGACAUUUCCACCAUGUGCACAUGUGGGUCUGGGCCGGCCGGGUGGGGGUGCUCCUCUAGCUGAUCUCACUCUGCUCCCACCAACCUUAUCUCCCCCAGGAUCACAGCUGUUCCCUCCACACUCAAAGAAGAGAAGAUAGCAUUCCCACCAAGGGGCAUUCCUAGCCCCUUGUAGGUUUGCUGUGUCACGCUCUAGAAAUGGCUCUGCCUCUCUGUUCUUCUGGCUCCAUAAGAUGAAGCUGAAUUUGGUGCCCAAAGUUGGUUCAUUCCCAGAUCGUGAAAAGAAUAGAAGAGCAAGUUCAAGAACCAGAUUUCUGGCCAAGGAACAAUCAUCUAAGAAAUUGUAAGUGGGAUUGACCUGAGUGUGGAUGAGUCAGGGCUGUGGAAAGAGGAAGUGGUCAUCCCUCUGGGGGGUCAGUCCUACCAGGGUCGAAGUAAACCUUUCCAGACACACAGACCCCUCUGCUCCCUCAGAGCUUGAAAAGGUUAAGACUCAAAAGCUGCCCUGAAACCUGGAAAUCUUUCCUUCAACGUUAAAAGUCUUCAGACGUUCCUCCUGCUGUCCAGCCUCAGGGACUGCUCCCUAUUCCAGGAGGCGCCUCCCCCAAAGAAAGCAUGUCGGUCACAAUCAGUGAUCCUCCAAAGCCCCAGGCAUCCUUCUAGACACUUCUGUCUUCUGGAAUCAGAAGAAGGGCUGCCAACUCCAUCAGAAAUCAGAUUGCUCCUGGAGCCGUGCCGGUGAGCACAUAAACACUUCUUGAAUCCCUGCCCGCAUCGUAGAGGUCAUGGCCUACACUGGACACGUGGGUGUUGAGUGAUGGAGGCCGGGAAGGCAAAUGAAACUCCAAGCCUUGCCGGAUGAAGGCCCCAGGCUACAAGCAGAUCCUAAAGGACUCACCUCAGCCCCAAGGUUGGAGACAGACCUGUCCCCAACUCCCACUGCUGCUGUGGGUGGAGAAACUGACAUAGGACCAGAAAAACCAUCCUCUGUCUCUUCUCCUGAAGGGCUCACAGACCCCAGGCCCCCUCCCAGAGUCAGAACUCCCAGACGUGUGAUCAUAUGUGGAUCUCAGACACCCAAGCUAGACAGAAGGAAGGACUUCCCCAAGUACGGGUUGGCAGUGCUGUUAGCAAUUUCAUCAGACAUGGAGGCUUCUCUUCUUGGAAGGCGGUGAAGCAGGAGAGUCCCCGUGCUGCUGAGUCAGGGAUGAGGUAAGUCCCCCGUCUUCACAAAGAUUGGGGGAGGGGAUGGCUAACAUGACACCUCAAGACCCUACCCAGCAGAGAUGUGAAUAUGAGGACAAGAGGACACACAGAGGGACAGAUGGAUGGAAGGACUGGAGGAGCAGGGAGGGGGAGCAUGGUGGGAGAGAUGAAUGGUCUCCAUCGGACUGAUGGAUGGCGGCUGAGGUUUGUUUACUGGCAGCCCCUAGCCCACCAUCGCCAGGGGAGAGGAAUGGCGGCUGGUACAUCAGAGGGCUCUUAGGGAAGCUCAUGGAGAUGAUUUAGAUGGGAAUGAAUCAGCUCCAUAUGGAUUAAGUGUCCCUGCAAAUCCCAGGAUCUUACAGAUGAGGGGACGGGGCAAGGGCACCAAGGGGAGGGGCAGGGGAGGGGGCAGCGUGGAGCUGGUGCAAAGAAACACGGGCCUGGAGCCAGGUGGGGGGGUGCCCUGGGAGGGCCCCAGGGGGCCAGCCAGGCACCAGUGGUGUGCCCCCGGGUCUGUCCGUACCAUGUCUCUCAGGCUCAGUAUCAGGCUUUAGGGGAAGACCCUGUAUGCAGGAGUGCCCUGUCGGGAGUUUCUCUCCAUUUUCCCUCACCUCUUUCUCUCUCCUCCUCUCUUGCAUGUGUUUUUCCAUCUUUGCUCUUGGGUCCCUCCCCCUUCCUUCUCUCCUCUCUGUUUUAGUCUCUCUCCUUCCACACUCCCCUCCUCUCCUGCCCCCUCUCUCUGCUGCCCUGCUCCCUUCACUAGAGGUGUGGCUGACAGAGAGCUGCCCGCAGGUCCUGUGUGCUCCAGUCCUCUAGUCGGCCCUCCCUCUGGAUUCAGGUGCAGCACUCCCCUUCCCUCGGAGCCCUCAGGCUUGGAGGCGUCCGAGAACACCAAAGGUGGUAUGAAAGUGAUUUUUUGACUACAAAAAGUUCUUUCUCUUCCUCUCUGCCUACCCUGCCCUCAGCCCUCCGUUCUCCCGGUGCCAGAGGAAGCUGGGAGCAAGACGCCCACACUCAGCAGACAAGGGCAGGCUAAGCAGACCAGGCUUUCCCGUGCCACCAGAGACAGUGGGUCACCUGCUGGCUGGGGGGCUCCCGGAAGCACUGUCUCCCCACUGUUCCUCCCAUGCCCCGUGCAGAGGGCCCCAGAGCUGACUGCGGUUAUGAAGCCGGCUGCCAUGUGGACGACCUGGAUCAGAGCACGGGGUAGUCAUAUAUGACAAUUGUUUGAAAUAUCACAGCCGCUCUCCCCCCACCCCCACUGGUGAUCUAUGGGCUGCGUGCCCUGUAAAAAUUAUUUAUCGGGGCCUCAGAGUGUCCUGAUUUAGUGCCGCUGCCUCUGGGGCUGAGGGGCCUGCCUGUCCGCCAGAGCCUAAGCGUUAAACGACGCUAAAAAGUUAAACGGCCAACGUUGGGGGCUCACUCGAGGAGGCGCCAUAAAGCUGUCGGAGCUGCUUAAAUCAGGAGCGAGGAUUCCCCGGGACAUCUUCUCACCAUAUGCCACAAGCCAAGACGGCUUUCCUCGCCGCUUUGGACUCACCCAAACCCAGCAGCCCACACUGGGCAGGGGCUCUGGGGCCAGGCCGGGGCCAGAGCCAAGAAGGAGGUCAAGGCUGACCUCUCCUACAGACCUUCGAUCAGCAGCACCGGGCCCAGGGCCCAAGAGUAUAAGGGAACACACCAUCCAGCCCUCUGCCCUUGGCCAGGGCUCUCCUCAUUCACACCCCAUGUUUAAAGACCUCCAUCAAAAAGCACUGCGGCCCUCUCUUCCCACGGCCCUGGGGGAGCAGCACCUUCCUGUCUCUCACUUCUGUCCCCCAGUUCUGUGCCACGAACCCCCUGUGAGGCCAAGUCAGUCUAUGGUGUGACCUCCAGUCUCUUCUGUACCACCGCCGCCCCCACACCCACUUGCCAGGCUCCCUGAAGAAUAGGGCCCGGCCCCGGCUCCCCCCACUCCCCACAGACACCUCUGGGGGUCCCCGCACAACACUCAAGACUCAGUGGAUGGGUUUCCAGGCUGAAGCCCAGUCCGUGCUGCCCCCGCCCGGCCACCAAGCAACAGGGAGGUGGGUCUCCGCAGGCUGUCUAUCACGCCUGCUUUCAGCAGCAGUAAAACUUGCCUCUUAAAACCUCUACUUGGGUCCCUAAUAUUUGCCUGGCUAUAUAUCUCCGGUGAUAUAUGGACAGAAAUUGCUCGUAAAUGGCUAUAAAACCUCUUAGUCGGGCUGCGGAGGAGGCGCCUGAGUGUGGGCACGGCCCAGGCUGCGGGAGGCUCAGAAGCCGAAUCAUUCCACCCAGCAGGGCCCCAGGAAUGAGGGGCUGUGUGUGGGACCCUCAGCAGAAGAGUGGAGGAAGGAAGUCCGGGGGACAUUCUACAAGCUACUUAGGAAGUCCUGCAGGGCUCGCUUACCUGGCUGUCCCCGUGAGGGGCUGUGCAGCUUUAGGGAAGUCACUCAGGGGCUCUGUACCCUGUGAGGAUAGUGACACCCACCCAGCUCCCUCUAAGUUGUCGUGAAGAGCAAAUGAGGAAAGGCCUAGAGAAUUCGUCAGUGCUUUGCAAGCAAAAAAAGCUGCGUAAAAUUGGAUGCUGCCCUCGGAUGGGCCCAGUGUCUCGUGAAAGCCUUCUACCUGCUGGAUUCUUGACCUAAGUGUUGCCAAUCCUAACAACACCCUGCCAUGCAGAUACGACAGUCACAUGUCACAGACGCAAACCUGGCUUCACAGAGGGCACAUAGGUCGUCAGGGCCAGGGACUGAUUCCAGAGCUGGUGCCCUUUCCACAACAUGAGCAUGAGAUCCUGGCCACAGGAGGGAUAACAGGGGUCCCAGCCCAGAUGGACUGCUACCCGUGGCCACCCCAGGGAACCCCUCAAGCCUUCACACUGAGAGGAUGCCGUAUAUCUUGGCAAAGCUUCUCAGCAUCCAUGAUCUCAACUGAUUCUUUGGAGGACUUUGAGAAUGACCAAACAAGUAUCAGAUAGAGGGAGGGGGCUGUGAGGACCACCAGAGCAAUGCCCCUCUCUCCCCUCACAGGAAGGGCAACAGAGCCUGGGACGGGGGCGGGCUGGUGGCAGGGCAGGGUGGGAACCCUGUCCUGGUCUGGUGGGAGCUUGCCCUCUCACAUACAAAGGAGGGCUGACACUUUCCAAAGCCAUGAAAUUGGGGCCCAAACAGCCCCCCCAUCAUCUUAUCACCCAGCAAAGAAGCUUCUAUAAAACUCCAAAAUGCUCAAUGUUCUUAUCCCCCAAGAUCAGAGAAAACACUAGAAGUAUGUGUGAAUUGCUCAAGGUCCAGGGCUCAGGGGCAGAGCCUGGAGUCGCCAAACCUCCCCAGUCCACAUCUACAUCCACUCUUGCAGUGUCCACACCAUCUGCCUUACAGAGAGACGAGCCUCUGGCCACUCUGCUGCUUGAACUCAGCCUGGCCAGGACACCUGCCUCAGCCUUCAAAGUAACCCUCAGUUCCUGUGAGAGCCCCACACUCCCUCCCUCUCUUCUUCCCCAAUCCUGCUGCCCACUCUCCCCUCCAGGAGGCCGUCCUGACAUGAAGCCCUUGGUUCUGCUUUUCUCUGUUUCUCCCUGCUCUGAACAGCCUCCUCCAUGUCCAUGCUCAGGCAGCUGCCGGAGCGACUCUCCUCGUUCGUGCACAAGGGGAAGGGGCCUGCAUCCCCUUCCUCUGAGCCGCCACUGCAGCCCCAUCCUGCAGCCCUCUUCACCCUCUCAGACCCAACCAGAUCUGCCCAGUGGCUGUGUGUACGUAGAUACAGUAUAUGGCUCCUGUGGUCCUGGGAACCCAGCCGCCUCACCGCCUCUUCUUCGGUGGAAACUGCUGAAGUCCUAGGAGUCCCACAUCAGACAUAAAUGACCAUGGCUUCUGGGGUUCCCUGGUCCCCCAGGGGUCUGGAGACCCCUUCCCCAACAUCCCAGGUGAAGGAGGCCUUCGGCUAGAACCAAAGGACGGUCACAUCUGCAUCCUGCUUUCCCAUCUCUGAGUAAAACUGGACCCAAAAGAUUCAGGCAGGGCCUCCCAAGGUCUAACUUCUAGGUCUCCUGCUUGCGCUUCUCAGAGAUUGUGACAAGGGGGCAGACAACUGGGUCAGUCUAGCAGACCCUGACCGAUAUCCUCCAAGUUCUCUUCAACCCGAGUCCAGCGCUGUGCACCUGCUUUCCCGCAGGUGAGAGGAGAGGAGAGGAGUCUUCAGGAAGAAUGUCCUGUCUGGGUCAGGAAAAAAACCAAGAAGGGGAGGGUGGCAGGGUGGGGAAUAGUGAGGCCAGCCUGAGGGGCUCAGGUGCCCCUGCAGGGAGCCUGGGUUGAGGUUCCUGGGCCACGGUUGGGGGGCGCUGUAGCCCAGACUGGACCAGGUGGUUCUGGGAGUUACUAGAGGGUUUUCAGGGGCUGUAGCUUCUGGAUGCUGGUAUAGGCUUUGGGGGGAUUACAACAGAGUUGCCCUAGGGAUUAUAGUGGGGUGUUCUGGGCAUCAUG